CCUGCACCACCAGCUGGGAUCUCAGUGCUUCCUUUUCUGUCCUCCUCCAGGAUGGGGUCCACCGUCAUCCUCACCCUCUUCCUGGCUGUUCUCCAAGGUGUCUCUGCUGAGGUGCAGCUGGUGCAGUCUGCAGCAGAGGUGAAAAGGCCCGGGGAGUCUCUGAGGCUCUCCUGUAGGACUUAUGGAUACAGCUUUACCAGCUACUGGAUCCACUGGCUGCGCCAGAUGCCCGGGAAAGAACUGGAGUGGAUGGGGAGCAUCUAUCCUGAGAACUCUGAUACCAUAUACAACCCGUCCUUCCAAGGCCACAUCACCAUCUCAGCCGACAGCUCCACCAGCACCGUCUACCUGCAGUGGAGCAGCCUGACGGCCUCGGACUCCGCCAUGUAUUAUUGUGCAAGAGGGACCAUCUAAAACCCUCCAUGGUGCAGGUGCAGAGUGAGGUGCCAGAGACACCCUCCCCAGGGACCUCUCUAUUCAUCCGGGGAGGAAACACUGGCUGUCUGUGUCCUCAGGAGCCAGAAACAGAGAACAACAUGGGAGGGUUCCCAGCCCCUAAGGUAACUGGAUGGGAGAACUGACCAAGGGAGAUGAAUUCUCUGAGGGGGCUCUUGUGUGUUCUACAAGGUUGUUCAUGGUGUAUAUUACAUGGUUAACAUCCAAAGGCUGUCUAAUAGGCACCUCUUCAAUAUGAUAGCCUUUUAAUUAGUGAAAAUUUAACACAGUUCAUCAUUGCUUGCUUGCCUUCCUCCUUCCUAUCCACUCUCACUCCCUCCUUCUUUUAUUUUCUACUUACUUUUCGAAAAUCAUUUAAUCCCUUUUUGUACUAUUACUCGGUUCUCUUGCUUUUUUUUUUUGUUUUCCUUUUAACAAUAUGCACUGAAUAAUUCAUCUUUGUGCAAAUUUGUAAGUAUUUCGAUAUAACAAAGACUUCCUUCAUAAGUAAAUUUCCUGUGAGUAAUCUUGCAGCUAUUUUAGAACCUGUUUGAUUAAGGAUACAUUAAAAUAAAUACAUAAAUUUUUAAA